GGUUGUAGCCUUAGUGAAAAAAACAUGUUAACAUAAAUAUUUUCGAGGAAGCCAUGCAGGAAGCCAGGCAGGCAAUAGCAAUUUUUUGAAAUUAAUAUUUUGCCGCAGUACUUGAAAAAGAAUUUAACUCAAUUCAUUAAGACAUUGUGGAACAAGACAUUGUGGAAUUAGACAAUGAUGUAGAAGAAACAUGUUUUUGACCAGUGUGCCACUUGAUCGUCGGUUUGGUUUAACAGAUAAAUAAGAGAAGGAAGUAUCAGACUGCUGCUACUAUUUGCCUGCUUCCGGUGCUGCCACUUGACAAUAAUGAUGACACCGACGAUGGCGACGAUGAUGAUGAUGAUGAUGUGGAUAGUCAGCAUGUAACUCGACCUCAGGUCAAAUGCAACAAGAUGCACGAACGUAAAGUGAGUCGGGGAACCGUAUGUAUGAGUCGCGUUGCCGUUGUCCAGUGAAGAGGCCGAACUGACCAUAGCCAUGCCAUACUGUUGGGACCAGCCUGUUAACGACCAGACUACCAAGCUACGCCUUUUCCUGUACUUCCAUCUCACCCUCUGUGUGUGUGUGUGUGUAUGAGUGUGGCAAUUAAGGCAACUGCGUAAUUGUUGCCACAUGCACAUGAUGGUCCAGUGAAUGAUGCUAUACCAAACCAGCAAUACCAACAACAACAUCAACUAUCUUUUCAUUGAACCAUAUUGUUGUUCGAAGCGCCAAUUUUUGAUUGCUCUUCUCUUCCGAAUAAAAAAAAAAAUGAAUG